rnacentral:lncRNA from 1 species
GCAGGCUACAAAUUAAAACCCUUUGUGAUCCAACACAAUGAGGACCCCAGGGCCUUCAAGCACAUCAAUAAGCACACAGUGCCAGUGCACUACAGGAGCAAUAAGAAGUCAUGGAUGACCCAGCUUCUCUUCCAAGAUGCCCUCUUGAAUUGCUGUGCCAGCGAAAUGGAGAAGUACUGUUUGGAGAAUAACAUAACUUUCAAGAUUUUGCUUACUGUUGCCCAAUAUGAAAGCAGCUUUUCUCCCUUUAAGCAUCACCUCUUUGAUCCAACCAAUGGAUCCAAGAGUUACAGUAGUUUUUAAGGCCUACUACCUGAGGAAGACCUUUGCCCACACUAUUGCUGCAACUGAGGAAGACACUAAGAAGACACUGAAGCAAUUUUGGAAGGAUGACAAUUCUAUAACUGAAUCAAGAACUUUGCUUGGGCUUGGGGUGGUGCCACCAAGGAGUGUAUGAGUGGCACCUGGAAGAAGACAUUCAAGAGGUUCGUCCAUGACGUCAAAGGAUUUGCCAGGAUGAGGAGGCUGCAACAAUCAACAAGGCUGUGGCUGAGAUGCAAAUAACUUUAACCUGGGUGUGGAUGAGGACGACAUUGAAGAGCUCUUAGAAAUGGUUCCUAAGGAACUACUUAAUGAGUUGUUGUUGGAACUGGAACAGAAAUGCAUAGCCAAAGAAGAGGGAAGAGAAAAGGAAACUGCGGGAGAAGACAAAGAAGAAGAACCCCCUAAGAAGAUUCACAGUGAAGGGUUGAGCAGAAGCUUUUUUAGACCUCAACAAGCUCCUUAAACAGUAUGAAAACACGGACCUCAACGCUGAAAGGUUUUCAUUAAUAAAGAGGAAUGUUCACAGUGCCUUAUCUGCUUACAAGAAAAUCUAUGAUGAAAAACAAGAAACAAACCAAGAAAACCACCAUGGACAUAUUUCUGAAAACAGUCACACCUCCUCACGAAGAGCGGCAGGUCCCUCAGGAGGAACUGACAGGGAGGUGGAAGACAGUGAUAGCGAUGAUCCCGAUCCUCUGUAGGUCUAGGCUAAUGUGGGUGUUUGUCUUAGUUUUUAACAAAAAAGUUCAAAAAUUAAAAAAAUAAAAAAAUUUAAGAAGAGAAAAAAGCUUACAGAAUAAAGAUAUGAGGAAAGAAAA